GGUCGUCGCUUUUAUUGGGCCUAAAACGUCCGUAGCCUGUUUGGUAAAUCUGUGGGUAAAUCAACYCGCUUAACKGGUUGAAUUCUGCAGAGACUGCCAGACUAGGGACCGGGAGAGGUGUGGGGUACUCUAGGGGUAGGGGUAAAAUCCUGUCAUCCUUAGAGGACCACCAGUUGCGAAGGCGCCACACUGGAACGGAUCCGACGGUCAGGGACGAAGCCUAGGGGCACGAACCGGAUUAGAUACCCGGGUAGUCCUAGGUGUAAACGCUGUGAACUUGGUGUCGGGGGUCCGCAAKGGGUCCCCGGUGCCGGAGUGAAGAUGUUAAGUUCACUGCCUGGGGAGUACGGUCGCAAGGGUCGUCGCUUUUAUUGGGCCUAAAACGUCCGUAGCCUGUUUGGUAAAUCUGUGGGUAAAUCAACYCGCUUAACKGGUUGAAUUCUGCAGAGACUGCCAGACUAGGGACCGGGAGAGGUGUGGGGUACUCUAGGGGUAGGGGUAAAAUCCUGUCAUCCUUAGAGGACCACCAGUUGCGAAGGCGCCACACUGGAACGGAUCCGACGGUCAGGGACGAAGCCUAGGGGCACGAACCGGAUUAGAUACCCGGGUAGUCCUAGGUGUAAACGCUGUGAACUUGGUGUCGGGGGUCCGCAAKGGGUCCCCGGUGCCGGAGUGAAGAUGUUAAGUUCACUGCCUGGGGAGUACGGUCGCAAG
rnacentral:rRNA from 1 species